rnacentral:rRNA from 1 species
UACAGAGGGUGCGAGCGUUAAUCGGAAUUACUGGGCGUAAAGCGUGCGUAGACGGUUAUCUAAGUCGGAUGUGAAAGCCCCGGGCUCAACCUGGGAAUUGCAUCUGUGACUGCAUCGCUAGAGUACGGUAGAGGGGGAUGGAAUUCCGCGUGUAGCAGUGAAAUGCGUAGAUAUGCGGAGGAACACCGAUGGCGAAGGCAAUCCCCUGGGCCUGCACUGACGCUCAUGCACGAAAGCGUGGGGAGCAAACAGG